rnacentral:rRNA from 1 species
UACGUAGGGUGCGAGCGUUGCCCGGAUUUAUUGGGCGUAAAGGGCGCGUAGGCGGUUUGACAAGUCUGAUGUGAAAUCUAUGGGCUCAACCCAUAGCCUGCAUUAGAAACUGUCGGGCUUGAGUAUGGGAGAGGUGAGUGGAAUUUCCGGUGUAGCGGUGAAAUGCGUAGAUAUCGGAAGGAACACCUGUGGCGAAAGCGGCUCACUGGACCAUAACUGACGCUGAGGCGCGAAAGCUAGGGGAGCAAACAGG